CUACUGUCUAUUUUUUUUUCCUUCCCCAUAAGCCUAAGGUGUGGGGAAGGCUCCCUCUCUGGAGGAGCAGGUCGGAAGACCUCGGUGCAAAAGCAGGGACCCCCUGGCUGACCCUGUUCUCCCUCUGCAAAAUAAAGGAACCCCACCGGUGCAGAACCGUGCCACUGCACCCAUAAGACAGCCCCGAGGCUCCUGGCAGACCCUACUGGGAAUUACACAGCAAGAUGGCUUUCCCUACUCCAUCGUGGCUAGAGCCUCUGCAAGGGCUGAAGCCCUUUGAUCUUGGCUUCAUUUGGAUACAUUUCAAGGGCCUUACUGGCUUUGGGCAAGUGCUGAAGUUCACUCAUUUUCUAUUGGUUGUUUCUCCCCAUGAAAGACAUUGAACAUAAGUGGUGUGGAAUAAUGUUAAGCUUCUCUGAUGGGUCCUAAAUGGUUGAAGAACACCCCUCAAGAGAUGGGAAGAUUCUAAGAGCCAGAGAGAAUGGAUUACUCCAAGGCAACACAAUGGGACUGAUGACCACAUGAACUCUUAGAGACUGUAGCAGCUUGCACCAGGCCUGU
ensembl:lincRNA 9030622O22Rik RIKEN cDNA 9030622O22 gene